rnacentral:rRNA from 1 species
UACGUAGGGGGCAAGCGUUGUCCGGAAUCAUUGGGCGUAAAGAGCGUGUAGGCGGCCAUGCAGGUCCGUUGUGAAAACUGGAGGCUUAACCUCCAGACGUCGAUGGAAACCGUAUGGCUAGAGUCCGGAAGAGGAGAGUGGAAUUCCUGGUGUAGCGGUGAAAUGCGCAGAUAUCAGGAGGAACACCUGCGGCGAAGGCGGAUCUCUGGGCCGUAACUGACGCUGAGGAGCGAAAGCAUGGGGAGCGAACAGG